ACCGCCGCCACACCGCCCCGCGCGGACGGAGCCGCACGGCGGGCCGGGGCACGCGGUGGGCAGCGCUGCUGGCGGGGCCGUGCGGUACCGGCGGCCGCUCCGCCUCAGUCGCGCGUCAAACGGCGCCAGCUGCGCAGCUCCGGGCUGCACCCGGUGAGCGCCGCCCGCAGUUAAACGCCUGCGAGAGCAGCGAUACGCGGAGCUACGGCCAAGUGCUUCCCCGGGGUAGGUGGGCCUGCGAGGCGCCGAAGGGGCCGCGGACGUCGGGCGGUUGUAACGCUUCGGGGACUCGCGGACGUCGUUCGGUGCUGCGGAACACAGCCGCUCGGGUAGUGGUGCGGCCCCGCCGUAGUUCGCGACAGAGACAGCGAUGCCUAGAGAAGCGCGCCAGGAACAGCGCUACCCCUGCGGCCCCACGACCCUCAAGGCAGCGGCACUCGGCCCUACUGCUCACAGGGAAAGCAAGGCGGAGCGCCCAGCCAGGCGGCGCAGAGGAGUUUUGUUUUACAGAUUUCACCCCCAGCCCUGUUCCUCCUUGCACUGUUGCUAACAGGACAUGUCGUCUGACAAAGUGCAAGCUCACAGUCACUGCUGCUAGAUGUACAAGACUACUUCACACAGCAACUUCUAUGAAGAUGAUCAACUGACCUGCUGAAAACAAAUUAAGUAGCUUCUGAAAACAAAGCGAGUCAAACAGCGGCAGUUACGGUGAUAUUACCAGGAGUCGUACCAGUCAUACAGAGAUAUUACCAGGAACAUGCCAGCUAUGCUGUCUUCAAGUAAGGGUAUGACUAAGUAGCUUUUCUGAAAAUUGAUAGCUUUAUAUCACUUCCCAAAUAAUCACACCGAUGUCUAUUACAGAUAGCACCCAAGUUCACCUUGAACAGUCCAUCGAAAUCUUCUGCAGUAUGAGAGUAUACUGGUGAUAUGUUUCUCAACAGUGAGAAGAGACUAAACUUUGUUUCUAUUACCUGCAAAGGAAAAACAUCGCUGAGUUUCUGUUUUGCACUAUUGCUCCUCCAUGCUGAGCAGGUAUUUGUCUGGUGGGGGAGAGGGAGGCACUAGAUUCCACCUAACAGGCCAGACCACAAUUUCAGACACUGGAACAUAUUCUGAAGUGAAGGUCUAGUUACGAUUUAUUUGCUUCUCUCUCCUAGUCUGCUUCCCCUUCUGCAUUCCUUUGCUCUUGCCCUUUUUCACCUAUGGGCCUUUUGCUUUUACCUGUACACACAGAAGUAUAAGGUCCUGCAAGGUAGCAGCUAAAGAUGAAGGGCUCAGACAUCUGGUUCAGUCCCUUUUACUCCUGCUGCUCUUGUAAGAAGUAGUGCUUACUACAACAGAUAGCUGUUGUAGCUACAAGAACAAUGUUAGUGAGUGAGAUACAGUAGGAUAACAAGGAUUACAUCUUGCAAUAUCACAUCAACCACAUGACCCUCUGUAAUCCAUUUCUCCACAUCAAACAAGCUUUGUUGUUUGAGUUAAAUCUAUCUUGGGUUAAAACAACCAAGGCUAGGAAGUGCAGUGGCAAAAAGUCCACUGGAAAGACCCCAGACAGCUGUAGCCUCCUGUAUCUGCUGUGAAAAAUGAGCUGCCAUCUCCUCUCCUUCAUUUCCCAGUGGGAAGACUAUCUUAUCUUUUUUGGAUAUAUUUAAGAUACACAAGUUACAUGACCGAGUUACAUGAAUAUCCACGCUUACCUUCUUUAAAAGGAGUUUUUGGAGGAAUAUUUUCCUUGCUAUCAUGCUGGAAUGCUUUAGAAGGAUCAAAGUGCCUAAUGCCCUGAAUUGUAUAUAGUUGCUCCUGCAGAUCUCUGUUUGUUUGUUUCUCUUUUGCAAGAAGUGCACGCAGUUUUGAGAUGUCCUGAAGAAAACAAUACUCAGAAGUUAGAUUAAAAAAAGAAGUAAAGAUGCCUCUGUAUAUUGUGUAUCCAACACCAACAGAUGCCCUUGCUGUUCUGGAGACUGAUGACUUACUCUAAUGCAGCUCAUGCAGGGAAAUUAACAACUAUGGAAAGCAGUGAGUUUGCAGAAUUAGCCUCCAAGUAUCUGCAGGAUUUAGCAGAAGAAAGCAAUCAAGCAAGCAACUGAAUUCUCCAUUUUUUGACUUCUUAUUUGACAAACCUGCUGCAGGACAACAAGCCAAAAAACCCACAACUCUGAUAGAAACUUCAGGAAAUACUAAGCAGCUGGGAAAAAAAGAAAGGACAAGACCUUAAACAGCAAAAGUAUUCUGGAAUAAGUUGGAGCAAGCUAUGACUGUGUUCUGGAUAACCUUAAUAUCCUGGCUCUGGGUAAACAAGACAGCAAAAGCAUUACAGAAACACUGAACAUCAGGGAAGUGAUAUAGUUGUGGAGAUCAGAAACUGCCCAAUUCAGUUUGGCCAGAAAUGAAUUUUAAUGCAGUUAAGUUGACUCAUUGAACAGCUGGAAAGACUAGAGGAUAUUUGUUGACUUAAAUCCAACCUCAAGUUUGGAAGCUAGCUAGGAGCUAGGAGAAAAGGGGAAGGCAGGCUAGCACGCACACGGUAUUAUCCCUAAGGUGCAGGCAGUUAUCACAGUAGCCCAGUACUGGCAUUUGUACACUGGAACCUUUUGAGACCCAACUCUCAUAUCUUCCAAUCAUCACCUACUUGCCCACAACAGGAGACUUUGACAUGGCCUGCCACAGUGAGCUGGAAAGACAUCCUUGAACCACUAAGCUGCAGUUAACUGAUGAGAGAAGCAUGUCCACAGUACCCAGCUUAAGACAACUGCUGGCUUUGCUACUUACGGCUGCACACUAAGCAAAGGAAGCGCUUUUGCUUCCUUCACUGCCGUGUGGUAAUUUGUUAAGCAGCAUCUGCUUGUGAGCAGAAUUUGAGAUGACAGACAUGAUUGAGAAAGCAGUGGCAGGUAGUCACAUCCAAAUUCACCCUUUGUUCAUCUGCUCCGUGGAACUUAUUCAUUUGUGGAACAGUCACUGUAACUGAUAUUUCUAAGAGCAAUAUUUCAACAGAAUCAGUUGAACUUUUACCUAUGUUCCAUAUGAAGGAAAGCUACCUAGUAAUUGAUUGAAUCAAUUAGUUUUCUAAUGAAUAUAAUUCUAAAUUAUUUUGUCCAUCAGUAUUUUGAAACUACAGAAUUGAGAAAACAUUUAAAGCUA